rnacentral:miRNA from 3 species
AAGAGAGCCAUCUGUUGACAGU